GAUGAAGAACGUAGUGAAAUGCGAUAAGUAAUGUGAAUUGCAGAAUUCAGUGAAUCAUCGAGUCUUUGAACGCACAUUGCGCCCCCUGGUAUUCCGGGGGGCAUGUCUGUCCGAGCGUCAUUGCUGCCCUCAAGCACGGCUUGUGUGUUGGGCCCCCGUCCCCGGUUUCCCCCGGGGACGGGCCCGAAAGGCAGCGGCGGCACCGCGUCCGGUCCUCGAGCGUAUGGGGCUUUGUCACCCGCUCUGUAGGCCCGGCCGGCGCCAGCCGACACCCAACUUUAUUUCUAAGGUUGACCUCGGAUCAGGUAGGGAUACCCGCUGAACUUAAGCAUAUCAAUAAGCGGAGGA
rnacentral:misc_RNA from 1 species